GAUGAAGAACGCAGCGAAUUGCGAUAAGUAAUGUGAAUUGCAGAUUUUCAGUGAAUCAUCGAGUCUUUGAACGCACAUUGCGCCCCCUGGUAUUCCGGGGGGCAUGCCUGUCCGAGCGUCAUUGCUGCCCUCAAGCACGGCUUGUGUGUUGGGCCUCCGUCCUCCUCCCGGGGGACGGGCCCGAAAGGCAGCGGCGGCACCGCGUCCGGUCCUCGAGCGUAUGGGGCUUCGUCACCCGCUCUUGUAGGCCCGGCCGGCGCUUGCCGACACAUCAAUCUUUUUUCCAGGUUGACCUCGGAUCAGGUAGGGAUACCCGCUGAACUUAAGCAUAUCAAUAAGCGGAGGA
rnacentral:misc_RNA from 1 species